CCGGYUAACUACGUGCCAGCAGCCGCGGUAAUACGUAGGGCGCAAGCGUUGUCCGGAAUUAUUGGGCGUAAAGAGCUCGUAGGUGGCUGGUCACGUCUGCCGUGAAAGCCCGCAGCUUAACUGCGGGUCUGCGGUGGAUACGGGCCGGCUAGAGGUAGGUAGGGGCAAGUGGAAUUCCUGGUGUAGCGGUGAAAUGCGCAGAUAUCAGGAGGAACACCGGUGGCGAAGGCGGCUUGCUGGGCCUUACCUGACGCUGAGGAGCGAAAGCGUGGGGAGCGAACAGGAUUAGAUACCCUGGUAGUCCACGCUGUAAACGUUGGGCGCUAGGUGUGGGGAUCUUCCACGAUCUCCGUGCCGGAGCUAACGCAUUAAGCGCCCCGCCUGGGGAGUACGGCCGCAAGGCUAAAACUCAAAGGAAUUGACGGGGGCCCGCAC
rnacentral:rRNA from 1 species